rnacentral:rRNA from 1 species
AGGAUGAACGCUGGCGGCGUGCCUAAUACAUGCAAGUCGAACGAGGUCUUCGGACCGAGUGGCGAACGGGUGAGUAACACGUUGGUACCUACCCCGAAGUGGGGAAUAACUGCCCGAAAGGGUGGCUAAUACCGCAUAAUACCGCAAGGUUAAAGCAGUAAUGCGCUUCGGGAGGGGCCUGCGUCCCAUUAGCUUGUUGGUAGUGUAACGGACUACCAAGGCGACGAUGGGUAGCUGGAUCGAGAGGUUGACCAGCCACACUGGGACUGAGAUACGGCCCAGACUCCUACGGGAGGCAGCAGUAAGGAAUCUUCCACAAUGGACGAAAGUCUGAUGGAGCAACGCCGCGUGCAGGAUGACGGCCUUCGGGUUGUAAACUGCUUUUAUAUGGGAAGAUUAUGACGGUACCAUAUGAAUAAGGACCGGCUAACUACGUGCCAGCAGCCGC